UGGCUCUCGCUUCCAAAUCACGGGGUUUUCUCUCUCCUCAAAAUGCGAGCAGCUCUCUCUCUCUCUUCAAAUUCAGGGGAUUUUUUCUCUCUCUCUCCUCCCUGGUUUUCUUUCUCUGUCCUCCUUGAUUUUCUGCCUCUCGCUCCCUGUAACUUCUUAAACAAAAAUCGCACGCCCCAUUGAUAGGAGCUUAGCCCCUCCGCUCUCUCUGUCUCUCGCUCCCUAUGCCAAGCCCCUCUCUCUCUCUUUGCCAAUCCUACUGCUGGUGCACCCUCUCUGCCUCUUUCUCCCCUAAUCGCUUAGAAAAUCCCAUCGGCCCCUCGUCUUCCCUGUCCAAAGGCCCGUCCCACAGGGAAAAACCAAAGGCCGCUAGCGCACUGGCUCUGCCCCUCGAGCACCGUCUCGCGCAAGUACUCUCUCUCUCUCUCUGUAUUUGACUCAUACAAUCUAUUAUAAACAAUUUCCAUUAUCGAUUUGGGGGAGUUUGGGUUUUUAGUGGAAUCCCAAACAAUUUUGGUGGAAUCCACCUCAAAUUUUCUUUUUGAUGCAAAUGUCACGUACGUGGUAUGUGAAUAGUGGAAAGUCCGGAUGAAUUUAUCGAGUCUCUAUUGGGAGCGCAACAUGAGGUAGCUACUUCAUUUGGUGUAAACAUUGUUCUAGUGGAGAAAUACAUUUCUCGACCACGACAUAUAAAAAGUCCAGGUAUAGUUCGUCUGACUGCUUAACCUCUUCAGUAGGGCAGGACUGUUUGCAUGGUUCAUCAUAUUUGGCUGCAACAAAAUUUUACUAAUUUGCUGGACUGUAAGAGAGAAUCUUGUGGUUCUAGGUGGUUGGAUGCCUAAAUUUGUAGUUUCUUAUAUUAAACUGCCCACAACAUUUACAUAUUUGGAUUUUUCAAAGAAUGCAUUCAGCCAGAUGGUCUUUACCAAACUACAGGAAAUGUCAUGCACCCAAUUAUGAAGCCUCUUACAAUGGAUUUUUUUUAUGACAUUCAAUGAUUAAUUUUGUUUUGGCGGGCAUAUUCAACCUCACAAUGAGCAUUGAUCUAUUUUAGCCAUGGUUUUUCUGUCCUUUCUGGCCUGAUACACGACAUGUAUUUGUUGAUGUUGGACUUGGAUUUCAUGAAGAAUUUAUAAUGUUUGAAGCUUUGGAGUUUAUAUUCGUAAAGGAAGCAAGACUUGCCCGGUAAAUCCACCUCUACUGUUAUUCUUGAACUUGAAGCUUCAGUUGGUAGAACUCGUGCUUUUGGAUCACAUGUUUAUAUGCUUUGUGUGUUUGAAUGCAAUCUAGAAAUGACCACUAACCUUCAUAAGUUAUUACUUUUAGCAAUUUAAUUCCAAUUUCAGUGUCCUAGUUGUCAAAAUAGUUUUAUCUUGAUAUAGAACCAUCUAUUGAAACAUGAUUAAGUACACAUCAAAUUAUACCCUCCAUAAUACAUCGAAGUAUGUGAAGGGAAAAUUAAGGGCCAGUUUGGAUGUAACCAAAAUCCUCAUUUUUAUUGAUGAUUGUUUGAAAAUCUAUGCCAAAGGGUUAAAAGUUUAUUAUGGAUGUUUGUUUGAAAAUGUAUUUUUGUAGUUUGCAGUUUCACGUUGGGUAAGUCAAAAAACUGAGAUAGAUCCUAAGAAUCCAGUCAGUGUGACAUCUAGCACAUGCCCAAAUAUAGGCAGCAUUGAUGAAAUCCCUGACGGUGGUUGUGGCUCACCAAACAAAGGCCAUGAAAUAGAAGAAUUAUGUAUAGGAAUGAUGUUUGGAUAAGAGGAUGAUGCAUAUGAAUUCUUCAAGUCUUAUGCAUUGACCAAAGGUUUUGGUAUUCGCAGGGGGAGUAAUCAUAACAAGAAAGGUAAAUGGAUCGAUAGGGUUUAUGUUUACUCGAAGGAAUAAACAAGAAAAACCUAAUAAAAGUGAAAAUGUUUACCCUGAGUUAAGGUGUAGGUGCAAGGUUAGGAUGUGUAUAAGUAGUCAAGAAGAUGGCGAGUAGAAAGUGACUAGCAUCGUUAAAGAUCAUAAUCACUAGAAAAGCUCAUCUAAUUAGCACACAUCGAUCAUUGUCGAGUGCUACGAAGUCAUUAAUACAUUCAAUGAGCUCGGCAAUGGUUAAGCCUAGACAUAUUCUUAGAGGAGAAGAGGGCAAUUUAAUUUUGCAAUGGCUCUAUAAAAAGAACCAAUCGAACCGAUCAUUUUUCUAUAAAUUGAGAUUAGAUGAUGAUGAACAUAUUUACAGUAUCUUAUGGGUAGAUUGUACAUCUAAAGUUUCCUAUCAAUGAUUUUCUGAUGUGGUUACCUUUGAUACCACAUACAAGACAAAUACGUUUGGUAUGCCCUUUGCACCUAUACUUGGUGUAAAUCACCAUUUCAAUACAACUUUAUUUGAAUUUACACUCAUAUUUGAAGAGAAGAUAGAAUCAUUUAUAUAGGUAUUUGAAAAGUGGUUGGAAGCCAUGGGUGGAUGGCAACCAAGUGUUAGUCUCACAGAUCAAGAUCCUGCAAUUUCAUAUGCAGUGAGACAAGUUCUUUACCAAAGUAAGCAUCAUUAUUGUAAGUGGCACAUAUUUGCGAAAAUCAAAGAAAAAAUGCGUCAUGUCUUGCGUAUGCAUCCUUCUUAUUUAGAUACCUUUAGGAGGUGUGUGGCUAGCCCAACAAUUGAAGAUUUUGAAUCGAGAUGGAAAUCAAUGAUCGAGAAUUAUAAGUUGGAAGACAAUGAAUGGCUCGGUAGGCUUUAUGGUUGUCGCAUGUAAUGGGUUGAUGCAUACUUGGUUGGCACGUUCACUGCGGGUAUGACCUCUACUCAAAGGAGUGCAGGAAUGAAUAAACACUUUAAGAUGUACUUGACACCCAGAACAAGAUUGCGUACAUUAUUAGAAGCUGUCGCAAAAGUCCAAGAUAAGAAGGUACGAAAAGAGCGAAAAAAUGACUUGACAGAUAUUCAAACAACUCCAGUAUUGCAAACAACCACUUUCAUUGAUUCACAUGCAUAAAAAAUCUAUACUCAAAAGAUUUUGAAGAUAUUUGGGGAAGAGGUGGCUAAUUGCUUUAAUUUUACGAGAGAGACAGUUGAAGACAAUGGACAGGUUGCUAUGAACCAUGUCAAUGAAGAUGACAAUUCUGAUAGUUGUAGUAACACACCAAAUGAAAGUAACCAUUGCCGCAAUGUCCUUGAACCUGCACGAGCACAGACAAAGGAUGACCGGCCACUAAAAGAUUGAAAGCUCGUUCUGAAGGAUGGAAGCCGAAGACAAAAAAAAAGAAAUGCACAAUCUGCAAUGGCAGUGGACAUGACAAAAGGAACUGCCCGUCGUUCGUUUGUGAUAGGACAAAACAUGGUGUAAGCUUCAGACCCAUAAGAAGGCAGCAAAUGCGAGUUGAUGAUAGAGACGACAAAUUCAUAUGGAACAACUUCAAAGGACGAGCUAUGUUGCUUUUUUUUUUGAAAAGUUUGUUGUUAAACAAUUGGCAUUAUUGAUGUAUGUUGUAUGCCAUUCACUCAAAAAAAGGAUGUAGGUUAUAUGCUAUUGUACUCUUUUCACUUCUUUUUGGGUUGUAAGGUGAUUGGGUACAAGAAAAGAACGAUUAUUUGAAAAAGGGCAGGACUACUGAACUUUAUAUGAACAAUUUUGUUAUUGAAUGGAAUACCCCAUUUGGCAGGUAA